UGGGUACUGCCUUGAAUAAAUUGGGGAGUUAUUUUUUGUAUUUAGCCUGUGUUUAAUGGUACUUGUAAAUGUUAGUUUAUCCCCUUCUUUAUAUUGAAUAAUUUUAAAUUUAUUUAAUAAUAUCAAUUUUUCGUAUUGAAUCCUAAAAUGAGUUUUUAAUUGGUUCUGUUUUUUUUUUUUUUAAUAUAAAAAUUUUUGUUUCUUCCCGGUUGUGAAGCAAUUAAGUUGUAUGUCUUGUCAAUAAGGUGUUACGAACUGCUUUCCUUCCUUAGUGGCAGUGCCGCUAGCUCAGGUAAAGUUCUCCCCGUGCCACACAGCUCGCAACAUAAGCAUCGAUAACUAUCGACGUCUGACGACUCUACAUACGAUCUCUAACAAGCAGAUAAACAGAAAAAGUCGCAGAUGUUUUGACAAUCCCACCCACCUUACCUAGGAUGCCCAAGGAUUUUUGCGGGCAUGGAUCAUGGGUGAGAUCCACACGUCGGUGUCGCUCCAGACGACUAGGACGGCUAUAUCUCCCCUACAGUGAACACUCACUCAAACAUUUCAUUAGACUGCACCACUGUUGACGUAUUCACAUACGUAGGGUCACCUAACCCUGAGGAGCACCAAGGGAUCCGAAGGCACGUGCAACUAAACCUAGAUGUGUGUGGUUUCCCCUGUCAGGCUAACCAUCUUUUCGCAACCCAAAGUUGAACGGCACGACGACGACAAUUCGGACUCUCGAUUGAUUUCGAAUUGACCAAUUCAGCACCAGCAGUUGACAGCCUUUGUAAGCAAUCGUGGCGGUCGACGCCUUCGGACUGUCCAAGAUAUCUACGGAAGUCAAGAGAGGUUGCCCUUGAAGACUCCUACUCCGGGGAACGCGGCCCUCCCUGCGCUAGGCUAUUUGAAAUUUGGAACUGACUCACCGACUGCAUCGGAUAAUAACUGGACCCUUACGUCGGCACCCCGUUUAUUCUAGGG
ensembl:ncRNA lncRNA:CR45180 long non-coding RNA:CR45180